CUCGGCCGCUUACCUUUCACAUCCACGGUGCAGGACUACGCCGACCGCUUCCAGGCCCUGGCGUGCCACGCGCCGGGCGUCUCCGCCACUCAGCGCGCCGAGUUAUUUGUGGGCGGUCUACCGGACCAUAUCCGCAUGGACGUGGAGCUUCGGGGACCCCAGGAUCUCCAGUCGGCCAUGUAUUACGCCCGCGCGUUCGAGUGCCGCGCGGUGGCCAUCCAGCAGGAAUCACCGUCCCAGACUACUGGGUCGCUACCCGGACCGGAUUCCGCGCAGGGUCGGCCUGUGCAGGCUUCUGCGGCACCCCUCGCCGCGACCGCGGGGCGCCCGUUCCGCCGGCUCACCCCAGCUGAGAUACUCGAGCGUCGCCGCCAAGGGUUGUGCUUGAACUGCGACAAACCCUACAAGCCCGGCCACGCCUGCCCGCGACUCUUCUACCUGGAGGUGGCAGACUACAUUCCGGAGGACGUCGUCGCCGCUGACCUGGCCGCCCCAGAUGUCGAGAAGGUGUUUGACGCUGGUUGAUUACCUCGAAGAGUUCAAGCAAGCGCUUCCCCACCUUGCAGCUCGAGGACGAGCUGUUUGUGCAGGCGGGGAGAAGUGUUAUGGCCGGCCGGCUUAGGCCCGCAAGUUAUCUUAGUCUUUAUUUUCAGAUUAGGCAAGUUAUCUUAGGCAAGUUAUCUUAGGUUGAUUCUUCUACAAGUUAUCUAGGAUAUAAAUAUAGGUUGUAAGACUCUUUUUGAAGGCAAGCAAUAAGAAGAAUAUUAUCUCCUAUUGCCCGGCUCCCUGAGGAGCCGGAACCCUAGCCGCCAACAGCCCUAGCCGCCGCCCUUCUCCUAGCCGCGACGGUGCCCUGCCGCCGGCGCGCCCGAUCCUCGCCACGUCUCCCUCCAUCCUUCCCUUACCGCCUACGCCCUAGACCUGGUAGAGUACUUGAUCCUACCAUACUCAUUGACAACCUUCUUCUCCAUGCGACAUCUGUGGAUUCUACUGCUCAAACAGGCCAUGCAGGUGCAGGUGAUUGGCAAGAGGAGAUCUAUCAAAUGAUUAAGAGGUUAAAGGACCAAUACUUUGCAGAACUCAGUGAAUUAUUCAAUAAGAUGUGUGUGAAACUACAGCAUGUUGACAGCAUUAUUCCACCUCAAAUAUCAUCUGAGCAGUAUGAUAAAAUGAAGAGCUUUAAAAUAAUGUUGGAGCGCAUAUUACAAAUGCUGCAAAUUGGCAAAAGUAGUGUCCAACCUUCUAUGAGGGACAACGUUCCUCGAUAUGAGAAACAGAUUAUCAGUAUCUUGAAUUCACAAAGGAAGCCAGUGCAGCCACAAAUACAACAACAGUUCCAACCACCUGCAGAUUAAGAGCCUGAAGGAUCAAUACUUUGCAGAACUCAGUGAACUGUUCAAUAAAUUAUCUGUGAAGCUACAGCAUGUUGACAACAUAAUACCACCUCAAAAUCCUUCUGAAAAGUAUGACAGAAUGAAGAGCUUUAAAAUAAUGUUGGACUGUAUAUUACAAAUGCUGCUAAUUAGAAAGAGUACUAUCCAACCUGCUAUGUGGGACAAAGUUCCUCAAUACGAGAAACAAAUUAUCAGCAUCUUGAGUUCACAAAGGAAGUAGUGCAGAAAAAAAAGGAAGCUAGUGCAGUCACAAAUACAGCAACAGUUCCAGCCACCUUCAGGACAAGCUCCUAAUUCUAGCAUUUUGCAGCAACAACAGCCUUCCCAAAAUUUGCAGCAGCAUGAUACUCAUACUAAUACUCAAGCAAGUUUGUCAAGUAUGAGCACCCAAUUACAGUCCUCUAGUGCAGAUGGCAUCCAGCAUGUACCUGCGCCUCCAACAAGUAACUUCGGUGGCCCCAUGCAGCCAAACGAUGCAAACAUAUAGCAUCAGGUUGGUUCUAAUUUGUAGGCAAUUUCAAUUCUUUGCAGCAUGGUUCGUUGAGUGGUGCAUUACGAUAGGGAAGCACUGGGUCGAUGCAGGGAACAAUGAAUACAUAACUGCAGACAAGUAGUGGCAUGUUAUAUCACAACCCAAUGGGUACGCCAACCUAGUGGUAACUCCGUGUAAGCAAAUGCAAGUUCAUUACAGCAGCUGAAGCAGCAACAGCAGGAUCAUCAUAUGAUGCAGUGUCAGCAAAUAAAGCGUCAGAUGUUUCAACAGUAUCAGCAAAAGCAACAAAUGCUUCAACAGCAGCUCCCAAUACAGCAACAAUUAUAGAAACAACAAGUACAGAUGCAGCUUCCACAGUUUCAUGCUGGAGAUGAUGUUAAUGAGUUAAAGGUUAGGCAAGGAACUGCAAUGAAACCUGGAGUUUAUCAACAACACUUUGGCCAAUGCAGUAAUUAUUAUCAUCAUCAGAGUUGAAACAGAGUGGUGUUUUCCCAAUUUUGUCACCACAAAACUUCCAAGCAUCAUCCCCACAAAUUUCGCAGCAUUCUCCUCAUGUAGAUCAGCACAAUCCGUUGCCAUCUCAAGUAAAGACUGGGACACCAUUGCAUUCAGCUAACUCACCAUUUCUUCCAUCGCCAUCCCAAUCUGUCGCCCUCUCUCCCAUGCAAGUGGAUUCAGACAAACCACACUCCAAUAUACCAUCACUUACUAAUACUGGGCAUGCUGGACAUCAGAAAACAUCGCUAGCGCCCCAGACACAAAACCCCAUUAAGAUCAACCUCCUUGGAAGCAAAAGUUGUGGUUGAUUCAGGCAGACUUCUGCCACUGCAACAACCAUGCACAAAUGGUUCUGCCGGUGGAUGCACUUUCGGCUGUUCCAAGUGCUACUACUAUACGAUGCAAAAACAAUUCUUUAACUGCAUGGCGCACGCACACUCAUGAGUAUCCUUGGAUCCUGAUGUAACUAUCAAGUCCCUCGCCUUGUGAUAUCCUUCUGGUCGCUCCUUGAACCAAAAUCGCUGCAAUGAGAAACCAACCAGGCCAAUCCUUUUCUGCCUUAACAUAUAUGAAAUUAUUGAGUGUUUGCUUUGCAAAGAUAAAGAUGCUGCUCGUCCGGCUUGCUUGAAUUCUUUUUUGCUUGCUGUUGGAGCAUGGGCACAGUUGGAACAGGGUGGAGGCAACUCGGCACCAGAUCAUGGAUGUGGAGGGAGGCGGUGAUUGACAGUUGCAAAAGGUGGGGAGGGUGGACGCUGGCGGCGCGGAUGGAGGAUCAAGGCUAUCACCAGGAACUACCAAUUACAGACUGGUGCCAGGCCUUGAAGCACACAGCAUGCUUUCUAAAGGGGGCACCCUAGGAAUCAGACUCCUACCAAACCGGUCGCUAGCGAUUUGGUGCAUUCUAGUCGUCUGAUCUUUUGGCUAGAUUCCUUUGUUAAAUACCUGAUUUGUUGAUAACUUGCGUCCGUGAAAUCUGCUGCUUCCUGA